AUGUUAUUGUUGCUACCUGGAAUAGGUAUCCAGAUCAUGACUGUCAUACUUGAUUAUAGCUUGAGGGUUGAAUGUUUGGCAGGUCAUCUAGAAAAGAUUUUGAGAUAUCCUUUCAGCUGUAUUUUAAUCGAAGCCACAAAGUUUCAGUUUUUAUUUAUUUUAUUUGCUAUGUUUUCGACCGUGGGUGCAAUGUCCCUGGGAGUAGAAAUACCACUCUCUGGAAAAGUAGUGGCUACACCCAAGUUCAUUGCACCCAUGAUGAACAGUAAAAUCAAAACAAAUAGCAAAAAAAAAAAUCUGAAACUUCGUGGCAUUGAUUAUGAACAAAUGUUUUAG
rnacentral:rRNA from 1 species